rnacentral:rRNA from 1 species
UUCAUUUACCCCAAUGUAUGUUAAUAGAAUGUUGUGACUAUAUAAAAUCUAUACAACUUUCAGCAACGGAUCUCUUGGCUCUCGCAUCGAUGAAGAACGCAGCGAAAUGCGAUAAGUAAUGUGAAUUGCAGAAUUCAGUGAAUCAUCGAAUCUUUGAACGCACCUUGCGCUUCUUGGUAUUCCGAGGAGCAUGCCUGUUUGAGUGUCAUUAAUAUAUCAAUCUUCUCUUGUUGAGUGGUUUGGAUGUGGGGGUUUGCUGGCCUCUGAAAAGGGGUUCAGCUCCUCUGAAAAGCAUUAGCAGAGCGACUCUGUUCAUUAGCGUGAUAACUAUCUAUGCUGUUGAAUGUGUGUGGUUCAGCUUUCUAACCGUCCUUGGACAAAUUUAUCAUUUAUGUGACCUCAAAUCAGGUAGGACUACCCGCUGAACUUAAGCAUAUCAAUAAGCGGAGGAA